AAGACGUGCAGCAGGUGCAGCCCCCGCAGGAGGAUGCAGGCCAGGAGCGGACAGAAGAGCAGCUCCGUGCCCGUGGCCGCUUCCGCAGGGCAGCACAGACAUUUAUGAAAUUCAUGGGCAGUCGGCGUAGAAAGGCCAGGAUCACACCAGCUGAUGUCCAGGCCCAGCCUGACACCAUCCCGACCCAGCUGACAAAUCCUGAUGUCAGCACUGCGUCGACUGCUGUCCCAGCAAAGUGUGACACCACAACCACUGAUCACACAACCCACUGGGACACCACGUCAAUCGAUGAUG